GGGGCACGCACGUCGCUCCGUGCAUCACGUAGGGCAGCCCGCGGGGCUGGAAAUAAAGCACAAAAGCACACAAAUGGUGGUGUGUGCGGCGCUGGAUAGUGGGACAAGGAGCUGAGCCCUCCUCCCGGAGCUGCACUAAGCCCUGCCACUCAGUUCAGCUCAUCCGUCCUCAUUUCGGUGCAAUGAAUUCAGUGCCUGCCCGACUGCACUGGCAGAGUCAGCUGCCUUCUUCUUUUUUUUUUUUUCUUUUUUUUAAAUAAUUAAUAUUGCUUUCCUUUUUGGUUCUGUUUCACUGCUUUAUUUUUUACUUUUUAUUUUUUUAUCCUUUAAUUAAGAAAUCUUUCCCCAACAUCCCAAGGGAAAUCUACACCUCUGUGGAACAAAUAAAGCAUUCAGGCACCAAUCUUCACCACGGACUGAUCAAAUGGGCGGCUGGUCGCAUUUUGCUUGUUUUUACCUUUUUUAACUAUUAUUUUUCGUCUUUUUUUUUUUUCUUUUGGGUGUGUGCGUGUAAUUUUUUUUCCCUCUUGCUCUUAGGACAGUAGAAAGCCAAUGGAGGAAAACAAAGGUAAUAAAUAUAUAAAAUCCAAGAUACGUACGGGCCAAAGUGAGAGUAAUUGUGUGUAAUUGGAUCAUAGCGUUGUAGGUGAGUGGCUUUGUUCUGCAAUCCAUCUCUGGGAUAAGGAGAUAUAUAGAGACAUGUGGGAAUAAAGAGCACCUGCACGGCCCUAAAUCUCUAAUUUUAAAAGAAAAAAAAAAGGUAUUUUAGGUAUGAGGCUUUUAACAAAGGAGGGGCAAUGCUACACUGUGGUGUGGAUAAAGGUAAGGAAGCAUUACAAACAAUAAAAAAAAAAAGCACAGAAAGAUGUGUGGUAUUGCAGCUGCAGCACAAGAAUAUGACAGGAUUUUUUUUUUUUUUCUUUUUAACAGUAUUACCACAUCUGAUCUCACCACAUGUAUGUUUUUAAUUACCAGAACGGUGGCCGUGAGGAGGCAGUUCCUUCCCUCAGUCCUCGGCUGUUUGGGGCUUUUUUAGCGUUGUUUUGCUUUUUUUUUUUUUUUUUUUUUUUGUUUUUGUUUUUUUAAUUGGGCAUUUUCCACGCGGUGAGGACAGCGAUUGCAACCCCUGCGGAGGAGAGAAGUGGAGGGGGAGAAAUUAGGCAUCAAGCUAUCGAAAUACCCACCUGGGAGGGCGCGUGUGGAGGGGGAGGAAAGAGCAGCGUUGACCCCAAAAUCUUCACGCUGUGAGGGGAAAAAAACACUUCAAAAUGGGACGGUGAGGGGGACGGGAAGGGAACGAGCGGCCCUCAGGGCGCCGCGGGCCCUUCCCGCGCUCUCCGCCCGCCGCCAUUUUGUCGCCUCAGUACCGCUCGGCGCGGCCCCGCCGGGCGCCAUUUUGUGAAGCGAGCAGCGGGCGGGGCCCUGCAGUACCGCGGGCGGCGCUGUACCGCGCGGCCGUCUGCCUCCCCCUCCCCUUUCUGUGAGAAAAACAUCCUCCGUUCGCUCAUUUACCCUCACAAUUUUGUUGUUGUUGUUGUUUUUUCCUUCACAAAAUAAGGUUACGCGGUGUUCUUAAAACAGGGUCGGGAAAAGGGGACAAGGGGACAAGGUCUCCUCAGCACCCUGCGUACAGCCACUUGCGUUAAGGAGAUGAGGUCUGUGAGGGAAAGUUUGACCUUUCACAGAAUUAAGGGAUAUGUUUAAUUUCAGAAGAUAUUCCCCUCACCCUUUGCUGAUGUCCGUGAGCCUCCCUGACAGAUAGACACCUCCUGCCUUUUUCUAUAUAAAUAUUUUUAAAUAAAGCACACACCUUUGGGCUCCCAUCAGCGCCCCAGAGAAAUAAUGAAGAAAAUAAACCACUCCAAGUCAGAGCUGGGCAAAAAUCCUUAAUUCCAUCUGGAAAACCAGGGCUGCAGGGUGCUGUAAUCCACACUGAUGAUAGGAUGGAUGCUGUCAGAGCUCCCGUGUCUAUUUUCAGAAAUAGGGUGGGUUGGGUGAUUUUUAAUUUUAUUUUGCCUUAUUUAUUUAUUUAAUAACCCGGAAUAUCAUUUACAGCCCGGUAACAAGGCUUGCAUAAUGGGAUGCAUCGAUUUUUUUUUUUUUUUCCUGGCGUAUGGAAAACAUUGCGUUAAAAAUAACCCCCCAGCGCUGCGUAUGGAGGGGACGAUCCAUGCAGGUCCUGCUGUGGGAUUCUCUGUAAACAGAUCUCUGGAUAGAAGGACAAUAGCACAGUGUUAUUUUCUUUGUGGUUUGUUGUUUUUUUUUUUUUUUUUUCCCCGUUUUUUUUUUCUUUUUUUUUUUUUUUCAUCCUGGCUAUGCUCCAAAUCACGAAGCUGGAGGAUUUCAGGGCUCGCGCUGCUCCGCUUAUUUUUAACCCAGAACAAUUCCAGCUGCUUUCCAGCCCUCUCCCUUAACCAGAGCGCAUUUCAUGAGAGCUGCUGGCUUUUAGGUUGUGUCGAGCGCAGGGAAGUGCAAAAAAUGGAUCCGAAUGCUCUGCCAGAAAGGAUGACACUGCAGCAAGCCAGCUGGGACAUGCUCACAAUUAACUCAGGUCAACCAAAGAGGGGGGAGGGGGAAAUAAAAAAAAAGAUUUCCUCCAGCUGCUCUAAAAUCCAUUUUAAAAGAAAAACAAAGCACUGUUGCCAUUCCUUCUCCCUUCUCGACUGCUCCAGCCUCAGUUUCCCCAUCUCGCUGCAGUGCUGGCUCCUGCUCGCCGCUCCCCAGCAGCUUUCACCUCGGAGGCAGUGAUGGCAGAGGGAAGGCACGCCAGGAAUCCAGCUCAGCUCUCCCUCAGUCCACCGCCUGCUUUUCACAUUUCUCACGGCUGAUGGGGCCGUUUCCAACCCGUUUCCCUUUACAGCCUUGCUUAUGCUGCACCAAAAUCUUCAGCUUGCAAAUGAAACCUGCGAAAGGCCUUUUUUGUUACAAAGGAAAACCGUGAUCGCUGGUUUAAAAAUGUUACGGUCGCGCCUGUCAGCUCCUUUUAGCAACCCUAGAGCUGCAAGAAAGAUAACCUUUGUGGUUUUUUGUCCUACAUUCUCAUGUUCCUGGGAGCAGGGCACGGUGUCGGAUGCCUUCUCUGGGAAAGACCAGGGAAAUUUUAUCCCCAGGCCGCACCCAGCCCAAAGUGAAGAAAUAUUUGCAUUUGCUUCUCCUUGGAGAGCAGCCAGCCUAUGUGAGAGGGCCCUCCCCGCUCGCCUUGGCCUGCCAAGAGGGAUUGCAAGAAAGGAUGGGCUGAUUGCAGCAGCCCAGGGCGUUGCGCAGGCACUGCUCCUUGCCCUUUUGCACCUCCACUGCAAGACAACGCAAGACCUCAGCAGGUUUUGCACCUCCAGGGAAGCAUUAAAUAUUGACUCAGAUGCUCUUGUUAUUUCCUGCACUUGAUUUGUGGCUUUAUAAGCGCUUUUGGCUAAAAGGGAAACCCCUCUGUCUGUGUGGUUUGCAAUAUGUUCACAGACAAGACCAAUGAGUGCAGGUGGCACCGCUCACACGGGUGCACAGAGUUUUCAUUUCUGCCUGUUUUCCAUACCACGGACCAAAAGAAAGUCAGAAAGCUUCUGCUGGUGGAGUGGCAUUAUCUUGGAUAAGAUGCAAAACCUCAGUGUCAGGACAGCGUUGCUGUAUACAGAAGACAGAAAUCAGGCAGAGUUUUUCCAUCCAUUGGAGGAAUUUGUGCUCCGGCUGCCCUCUGCCGGCCUGGGACUUUUGUGAGACAGAGCAGAGAAACGCCACGCACCCUUUACCAACACCCGGACACUGCAGGACCCCCAGCCCGGCUGCACAACGGACCCUCCGCUCUCCCGUCUGCCGAAUCGCCGCGUCCCACCCCAUCCCAGCCAUGCUAUCAGCCAGCAGCCCAUGAGGCUGUGCCCAGCCUCCUGCCACCCGAGGUCCUAACGUGGCCUCUUCCUUCUUUUUAAACUUGCCUUCUGUAAGUUUGGGACGCAGGAAACGGGCGGAUGAAAGAGACGGCAUUUUUAGCUUGGGGUUUUAUGUAAUGACAAGGAGCUAAAUCAGUGCUGCUCUCUGCAUCACCGCAGAGAGAAGUGUUUAAACAAAACCCCAAGAAAGCUUGAGAAGAAAGAAAAACGCUGAAGAAAUCAAACCAGCUUCAAAAAAGGAU